rfam:Triticum aestivum genome assembly, contig: Triticum_aestivum_CS42_TGACv1_scaffold_531145_6DL
AAAGUACUCCCUCCGUCCCAAAAUUCUAGUCUUAGAUUUGUCUAGAUACGGAUGUAUCAAGUCACAUUUUAGUAUUAGAUACAUCCGUAUCUAGACAAAUCUAAGACAAGAAAUUUGGGACAGAGGGAGUAGUUG